CAAAAGACACAAAUAAUCCACAGGCAAUGAAAAAGAGAAUUUGUCGAAUCUGCUUCUGUAAAAUUUCUUGGUGCAGUUUGAUGAGUAAACGGCAGAAUAUCACAGUGGAGGUGUUCGAAACCGCAUACUAACAUACUAUUCAUAUUAAGUCUGGUGUCAAAGUUAGUAUGUAGUGUGUUCACACUGCAUAGUAUGCGAAUUUUGUGUACGCGAGAAAUGCCCGGAUGUAUACUAAAUCGGCAAGAAUUUCAGAGUAUGCACCGUGAGCUCACUGGAUAUACUCAAGUGUGUAUACAAGUGUACCUACAAGUGUGAAUAUUUUAACUAUAUUAUAGCUUGUAUGUGGUUAAAAUAAUAUCCAAACAACGAAGUUGAUAUUAAUAACCUCGUUAAAAUGAAUCUAUUUUGUUUAUUGUUGUUGGAAGGCUUCUUUCCGUCUUUACGUUGCUGACGUAUGUCAUCAUUGGCUGCGACGUGUGACCUUCUGGGCGGGGCGUAGAGAGGCGGAGAAACGAAGCCGGAAAACAGAUUUAAAGCAAGUUAGAACCAUUGCCUCUGUUUGCUAGUACUGUGGGAGAACCUCGUUACUGGAGAGGCCUGGAUGUUGAAACAAACUUUAGCGCUGCCUUUUGGUCGUUAAUUAAGAGGCCUGGAUGCUAAAACAAACUCUGGAGCUGCUUUCUGGUCGUUAAUGGAGAGGCCUGGAUGCUGAAAACAAACUCUGGAGCUGCUUUUUGGUCGUUAGUAAAGAGGCCUGGAUGCUAAAACAAACGCUGGAUAUGCUUUUUGGUCGUUAAUAAAGAGGUCUGGAUGCUAAAACAAGCUCUGGAUGUGCUUUUUGGUCGUUAAUAAAGAGGUCUGGAUGCUAAAACAAACUCUGGAGCUACUUUUUUGUCGAACGAGUGAGACUGGACGCUGAACACACCUGCGGCGCGAAGGUUUACUGGUUCAGCUGCUGCAGCCUGGACAGAAACACCAGCUCUCACCUUAAAAACCAAACAAGUGUCACCACUUUGUCCACGAUCGCAGAGAGUCUUCGCACAAUGAAGAAGUUCUUUGAGACCAGGACUGAGGCCUCCAGAAUUCAAACUUGAACCAUUAAAUCACAGAGAGAAGAGACAGACAUGAAGACAUUUCCAGAAGGUCUUGAGCUGCUGUUGACUUCUCCUCCUCCUGCAGAGACAAGAACACGUAUUAUGACAUGCAUCUUAAGACAAAGUAACUAUCUUAAAGCAGCCAUCUUACCUGUGUUUUUCACAGACACACUUCAACACAGUGUUUGUGGGUCAGGUUAGAUUUUCCUAUUUUGCUAUUUCAAACAAUGCAAUAUCAAUACUCAGAUCCAAUCUAUUGCUGUGUACAUAGUCCUGUUCGUAUUGUUAUAUAUUGUUAUAUUGUUUGUAUUGUUAUAUAUUAUUUUGUUUUAUAUCUUGUCUUGUAUAUAUAAUGCCCUUUUCUAUUUUUGCUGUUGCAACACUGAAUUUCUCAAUUAUCUCAAAUAAAUACUUCUGAACACUGAAAAUUGUCUGUUUAAUGUAUGAAAGUGAAUAACUAUACUAUGACAUUUUUUAACCAUUUUUCAUGCCAUACUAUACUAUGACAUUUU